rnacentral:rRNA from 1 species
GGCUUAGAGUUUGAUCAUGGCUCAGGACGAACGCUGGCGGCGUGCCUAACACAUGCAAGUCGAACGGAGAUAAGCGCUGGUGAUUUAGCUUGCUAGAGAUCCUUGUUUAUCUUAGUGGCGGACGGGUGAGUAACGCGUGAGCAACCUGCCUUUCAGAGGGGGAUAACGUCUUGAAAAGGACGCUAAUACCGCAUGACAUUACGUUUUCGCAUGGAGAUGUAAUCAAAGGAGCAAUCCGCUGAAAGAUGGGCUCGCGUCCGAUUAGGUAGUUGGCGGGGUAGAGGCCCACCAAGCCGACGAUCGGUAGCCGGACUGAGAGGUUGAACGGCCACAUUGGGACUGAGACACGGCCCAGACUCCUACGGGAGGCAGCAGUGAGGGAUAUUGGUCAAUGGGGGAAACCCUGAACCAGCAACGCCGCGUGAGGGAUGACGGCCUUCGGGUUGUAAACCUCUGUCCUCUGUGAGGAUAAUGACGGUAGCAGAGGAGGAAGCUCCGGCUAACUACGUGCCAGCAGCCGCGGUAAUACGUAGGGAGCAAGCGUUGUCCGGAUUUACUGGGUGUAAAGGGUGCGUAGGCGGUUUGGUAAGUCAGAAGUGAAAUCCAUGGGCUUAACCCAUGAACUGCUUUUGAAACUAUCGAACUUGAGUGAAGUAGAGGUAGGCGGAAUUCCCGGUGUAGCGGUGAAAUGCGUAGAGAUCGGGAGGAACACCAGUGGCGAAGGCGGCCUACUGGGCUUUAACUGACGCUGAGGCACGAAAGCAUGGGUAGCAAACAGGAUUAGAUACCCUGGUAGUCCAUGCCGUAAACGAUGAUUACUAGGUGUGGGGGGUCUGACCCCCUCCGUGCCGGAGUUAACACAAUAAGUAA